GUUGUAUGGUUAAGUGACUAAGCGUACACGGUGGAUGCCUUGGCAGUCAGAGGCGAUGAAAGACGUAAUAACUUGCGAUAAGCCCAGAUUAGGUAGUAAUAACCUUUUGAGUCUGGGAUUUCUGAAUGGGGAAACCCACGUGCAUAAGCACGUAUCCUGUUGUGAAUACAUAGCAACAGGAGGCAAACCGGGGGAACUGAAACAUCUAAGUACCCCGAGGAAGAGAAAUCAACCGAGAUUCCGAAAGUA
rnacentral:rRNA from 1 species